rnacentral:snRNA from 1 species
AUGCUUGCUUCAGUAGCACAUAUACAUAAAUUGGAAUGAUAGAGGGACUAGCAUGGCCCCUGUGCAAGGAAGAUUUGGAAAUUCAUGAAACAUUCCAUAUUUUU